rnacentral:rRNA from 1 species
AUGAACGCUGGCGGCGUGCCUCAUACAUGCAAGUCGAGCGAACGGACGAGAAGCUUGCUUCUCUGAUGUUAGCGGCGGACGGGUGAGUAACACGUGGAUAACCUACCUAUAAGACUGGGAUAACUUCGGGAAGCCGGAGCUAAUACCGGAUGAUAUUUUGAACCGCAUGGUUCAAAAGUGAAAGACGGUCUUGCUGUCACUUAUAGAUGGAUCCGCGCUGCAUUAGCUAGUUGGUAAGGUAACGGCUUACCAAGGCAACGAUGCAUAGCCGACCUGAGAGGGUGAUCGGCCACACUGGAACUGAGACACGGUCCAGACUCCUACGGGAGGCAGCAGUAGGGAAUCUUCCGCAAUGGGCGAAAGCCUGACGGAGCAACGCCGCGUGAGUGAUGAAGGUCUUCGGAUCGUAAAACUCUGUUAUUAGGGAAGAACAUAUGUGUAAGUAACUGUGCACAUCUUGACGGUACCUAAUCAGAAAGCCACGGCUAACUACGUG